rnacentral:rRNA from 1 species
CCUACGGGUGGCAGCAGUCGAGAAUCAUUCACAAUGGGGGAAACCCUGAUGGUGCGACGCCGCGUGGGGGAAUGAAGGUCUUCGGAUUGUAAACCCCUGUCAUGUGGGAGCAAAUUAAAAAGAUAGUACCACAAGAGGAAGAGACGGCUAACUCUGUGCCAGCAGCCGCGGUAAUACAGAGGUCUCAAGCGUUGUUCGGAAUCACUGGGCGUAAAGGGUGCGUAGGCUGUUUCGUAAGUCGUGUGUGAAAGGCGCGGGCUCAACCCGCGGACGGCAUAUGAUACUGCGAGACUAGAGUAAUGGAGGGGGAACCGGAAUUCUCGGUGUAGCAGUGAACUGCGUAGAUAUCGAGAGGAACACUCGUGGCGAAGGCGGGUUCCUGGACAUUAACUGACGCUGAGGCACGAAGGCCAGGGGAGCGAAAGGGAUUAGAUACCCUUGUAGUC